CGAACGGGUUAGUAACGCGUGGGAACAUACACAGCACAGGGGGAUAACCAUUGGAAACGAUGGCUAAUACCGCAUACGCCCUAUUGGGGAAAGAUUUAUCGGUGUUGGAUUGGCCCGCGUUAGAUUAGCUAGUUGGUGGGGUAAUGGCUCACCAAGGCGACGAUUUAUAGCUGGUUUGAGAGGAUGAUCAGCAACACUGGAACUGAGACACGGUCCAGACUCCUACGGGAGGCAGCAGUCGGGAAUAUUGUGCAAUGGGGGCAACCCUGACACAGCCAUGCCGCGUGAGUGAAGAAGGCCUUAGGGUUGUAAAGCUCUUUCAGAUGUGAGGAUGAUGACGAUAGCAUCAGAAGAAGCUCCGGCUAACUUCGUGCCAGCAGCCGCGGUAAUACGAAGGGAGCUAGCGUUGUUCGGAAUUACUGGGCGUAAAGGGCGUGUAGGCGGAUUAUCAAGUUAGGGGUGAAAUCCCGGGGCUCAACCUCGGCACUGCCUUUAAGACUGAUAAUCUAGAGUAUGUGAGGGGAUAAUGGAAUACCUA
rnacentral:rRNA from 1 species